rnacentral:rRNA from 1 species
AUAAUGGGUCAGCGACUUAUAUUCUGUAGCAAGGUUAACCGAAUAGGGGAGCCGAAGGGAAACCGAGUCUUAACUGGGCGUUAAGUUGCAGGGUAUAGACCCGAAACCCGGUGAUCUAGCCAUGGGCAGGUUGAAGGUUGGGUAACACUAACUGGAGGACCGAACCGACUAAUGUUGAAAAAUUAGCGGAUGACUUGUGGCUGGGGGUGAAAGGCCAAUCAAACCGGGAGAUAGCUGGUUCUCCCCGAAAGCUAUUUAGGUAGCGCCUCGUGAAUUCAUCUCCGGGGGUAGA